UGAGCGGACGCGUGUUGUCGUCGUUCCUGUUCUGGGUGCUUCGGCGUGGCGUUGGUGGCUCGGACUGUUCUGACUGUGUGUUUGUGCCUUGCUAGUGAUGUCUGGACAUGUUUCUCUGUUUGUACGCCUUGGAAGAUACGACCAGAAGCCGUUGGAUUUCGUGAAUGGAAGACGCUUUUGACAGAUUUGUUUCUGUGCACAAGACAAAUGGGCUGUCGCACUCCCGACGUAGGAAAUGAACACACACGUCGCUGAGAUCUUAAAAGACAAAGUAGGGUGUGCACUUCACCCAUGCAACUCCAAUGUCUGCUUCAUGGCAGUGCAAGCUUUUACAACCGUGCCCUUGAAUGUAACAAGCCAAAUAAACUGGAUAACAGAGAAAAGUUUCCUGGUUCUUUUGCCACUAUGUUCGCGUAAAGCUACCCAGCUUAUCAUACCUACAUUUUUCUAAGAUCUGUACUGCUUUCACAAUGUAUCCUCCCCUUUGGUGCUUUGUGUGUAGGUGGAUUUUGGUUCCCCACUAUGUGUCAACCCUGUAUAA